rnacentral:rRNA from 1 species
GAGUUUGAUCAUGGCUCAGAGUGAACGCUGGCGGUAGGCCUAACACAUGCAAGUCGAACGGCAGCACAGAGGAGCUUGCUCCUUGGGUGGCGAGUGGCGGACGGGUGAGGAAUACAUCGGAAUCUACUCUGUCGUGGGGGAUAACGUAGGGAAACUUACGCUAAUACCGCAUACGACCUACGGGUGAAAGCAGGGGAUCUUCGGACCUUGCGCGAUUGAAUGAGCCGAUGUCGGAUUAGCUAGUUGGCGGGGUAAAGGCCCACCAAGGCGACGAUCCGUAGCUGGUCUGAGAGGAUGAUCAGCCACACUGGAACUGAGACACGGUCCAGACUCCUACGGGAGGCAGCAGUGGGGAAUAUUGGACAAUGGGCGCAAGCCUGAUCCAGCCAUACCGCGUGGGUGAAGAAGGCCUCGG